AUGCUUGUUUUGCCAGCACAUAUACUAAAGUUUCAAAAAUACAGAGAUCAGCCUGACCCCUACACAAAAAUAAUACACAAAUUUUUGAAAUAUUUCAGGUGGUU
rnacentral:snRNA from 1 species